UACGGAGGGGCUAGCGUUAUUCGGAAUUACUGGGCGUAAAGCGCACGUAGGCGGACUGGAAAGUUGGGGUGAAAGCCCAGGGCUCAACCCUGGAACUGCCUUUGAUACUGAAGAUCUUGAGUUCGGGAGAGGUGAGUGGAACUGCGAGUGUAGAGGUGAAAUUCGUAGAUAUUCGGAAGAACACCAGUGGCGAAGGCGGCUCACUGGUCCGGUACUGACGCUGAGGCACGAAAGCGAUGGG
rnacentral:rRNA from 1 species